ACCAGCAGAUGGAAUGUGACCUUUCUCUUAUUUUCCGUGUUGGGAGAAGUGGCGCUUUUAUCUGAAAACUAACAUUGUCCAAGUGUGUGGAAGAAAAGAAUGACUUAAGAUAUGGUCUUGUCUUCCUUCGUGGAGCUCACAGUACAUAGGAAGUGGCUGCCGGCCCAUGCAAUGCAAAAGGAAGCUUAUCAGUUGAACACUUGAAAACAUCUGCUCUGGAGGAAACAGGUAAUUCAGAGAAGAGAAGAAAAGGUGGGAUGCAAUAAAAAUGAAGCAAUUAAGACCAAACUUGGAACUCUUCUUUCUGAGGAACAGCAAAAACAAAAAGAAGUAAAUUGAGAAGGCAUCUGUAGAACCCCAAUAAUCUGCCCAAAUCAGAAGAGUUGAGAACUGGACAUGCAGGGGGCCAAGGCAAAUAAAGCAGUCCUUUAAAGAUGAGGAGACCUAAGAAGAGUUUCAAUAAAGAGAGAGGCAAGACUUAUCCAAGGAUGGUCUGACUCCAGAACCCA